UGUGAAAGCAAAGCUUGGGCGCUGGCGCGGCAGCUCCCCAGAGUCAAGGCCCGCAGCGUUCGCCCUUUUGGACUCUGUGGAAGCUGUGAAAAAGAACUCAAGAGUAAAAUGUACCGGAAGAAAAAAGUGUACGGGCUGUUGACGCUGUGAGAAGGCAGCCCCUUGCCUCGGCCUUGUUGAAAAGAAUUUAUAGGAAAGAUGCUUCUGAGAAAUCUUCAGGGACUCCUUAUCGCCUCUGGAGUGAAGUCUAUACACCAAGCAAGGCUUUCCAGGACUCCACCCAUCUUCCAUUACCCACUUCAAAAUGCUUAUAGUCCGGCCAACCUGUGCUCCUCUACUUCUGUAUCUACAAUUCUUACCAACUAAUUUCCUCCACUUUUUAUUUGACAUGCCUAUCUCCUUUUUGUCAGCUUUCCCAUUUCACAGAUGAAGAAACUGACCUCUAGAGAGGUGAAGGGACUAUGACAAUGUCUGUGGUGGAAAAUGAAUCCAAGUUUCUCAGAUUCAGAUUCGUUACGCCUAUCGUUUUUUGGCCUUUUGGCUAAGAUCAAGGGCGGACCCUUUAUUCCUAAACACUUCAGUGUGUAUCUCUUAAGAACAAGGAUAUUCUCUUAUAUGAGCACAGUACAACGAUUAAACUCAGGAAAUUUUGCAUUGA